UACGUAGGCAGCAAGCGUUGUUCGGAGUUACUGGGCGUAAAGGGUGUGUAGGCGGUUCUUUAAGUUUGGUGUGAAAUCUCCCGGCUCAACUGGGAGGGUGCGCCGAAUACUGAGGGACUAGAGUACGGGAGAGGAAAGUGGAAUUCCUGGUGUAGCGGUGAAAUGCGUAGAUAUCAGGAGGAACACCGGUGGUGUAGACGGCUUUCUGGACCGUAACUGACGCUGGAAACACGAAAGCGUGGGUAGCAAACAGG
rnacentral:rRNA from 1 species